CCUGUACUAUUUUUACAAAUGAAGGAAAGGGAUUAGUAGACCAUAGAAAGUUUUUGCUUUCAUGAGUUAUGCAGAUACCAGUUAGAGUACACAUACACAAAUCAUUUAACUUUCCAUGAAGCUAUAUAAAGAAAAAUGGAACUCAAAUAAACCUGCACUUUGGAGACUCACAAUAGAGAAAUCUAUAUUUACAAAUCCACCUCGUUAGGGGAUUUCAUAGACCAAAU